rnacentral:rRNA from 1 species
ACCGCGUACUUUUUGUAGAACGGGCCAACGAGUUACGUUAAGUAGCAAGGUUAAGCACUUAAGGUGCGGAGCCGUAGCGAAAGCGAGUUUUAACUGAGCGUUUAGUUACUUGACGUAGACCCGAAACCGGGCGACCUACCCAUGAGCAGGAUGAAGCGAAAGUAAAAUUUCGUGGAGGUCCGAACCCACGAGCGUUGAAAAGCUC